GAUAACCUCUAGCACCAGCUCCAGCACUGCAGAGUAUGAUUCCAUUCUGCAGUAUCAAACUCUUAAGAGAUGAGCCCAAUGAGCUGUUAUUGUACCUAAGCCUCCCAAGGACAGUGAAUGGCAGGCUUAGUCACCAUAAUAUAGAGUCUACUUAAAUAGCUACCUCUCAACCACCUACCAGCCCAGGAGUGAUCCCACCACGCAGCUCGGCCUACCACAUCCUAACCAUCCAUCUCCUCUUCCUCACCUCCUGGUCGACACCCGGCUACUCCUCGUCUUUCAGUAACCACAGAUUCUUUGUUUGUAUAUAUCACCACACUGUAUUGUAAUAAAUCACAGCUUG